AUUGAACGCUGGCGGCAAGCCUAACACAUGCAAGUCGAACGAGUGGCGGACGGGUGAGUCAUGUCUGGGAAACUGCCUGCUGGAGGGGGAUAACUACUGGAAACGGUAGCUAAUACCGCAUACCAUCGGAUGUGCCCAGAUGGGAUUGGCUAGUAGGUGGGGUAAAGGCUCACCUAGUCGACGAUCCCUAGCUGGUCUGAGAGGAUGACCAGCCACACUGGAACUGAGACACGGUCCAGAAUCCUACGGGAGGCAGCAGUGGGGAAGAUUGCACAAUGGGCGCAAGCCUGAUGCAGCCAUGCCGCGUGUAUGAAGAAGGCCUUCGGGUUGUAAAGUACUUUCAGCGGGGAGGCGUUACCCGCAGAAGAAGCACCGGCUAACUCCGUGCCAGUCGCGGCGGUAAUAC
rnacentral:rRNA from 1 species